CAGCCGCCGCGGUAAUACGUAGGGUGCGAGCGUUGUCCGGAAUUAUUGGGCGUAAAGAGCUUGUAGGCGGUCUGUCGCGUCUGCUGUGAAAACCCGAGGCUCAACCUCGGGCCUGCAGUGGGUACGGGCAGACUAGAGUGCGGUAGGGGAGAACGGAACUCCUGGUGUAGCGGUGGAAUGCGCAGAUAUCAGGAAGAACACCGAUGGCGAAGGCAGUUCUCUGGGCCGUAACUGACGCUGAGAAGCGAAAGCGUGGGGAGCGAACAGGAUUAGAGACCCCGGUAGUCCCUGUCCUCUUAUA
rnacentral:rRNA from 1 species